GAUGUUCCCCUUGCUAUGUCCAAGUGUUCUCAUUGCUCACUUCCCACCUAUGAGUGAGAACAUGUGGUGUUUGUUUAUUUUUAUCCUUGCGAUAGUUUGCUGAGAAUGAUGGUUUCCAGCAUCAUCCAUGCCCCUUUAAGGGACACGAACUCAUCCUUUUUAUGGCUGCAUAGUAUUCCAUGGUAUAUAUGUGCCACAUUUUCUUAAUCCAGUCUAUCAUUGACGGACUCUUUGAUCAAUUCCUGCCCCCUUUUGGUUGGUGAUUUAGUCAAGUAUUUGGGAGUUGUCAGUGCAUUUUUUUUUCCAGUAAAUAUUUGAAGAACUCCUCACUAUGUAAAGUUUUCUGGCCAAAUCUUAUCAACAAAAUAGGAAUAAGACUGUUAGGAACCUGUGGCAAACAUAUGAAUGUCUACCUCCAUUUUGCAUUCAUCUAUCUCAUGAGGUGGUGCUGUGCAGUUUCGAUUUUCCACAUAUUAGCAUCUCUGUAGAACAUUGUACAGAAGCUGGCACAAAAUGUACCAGCUGGUUUUUAACAUAUUCUAAAAAGCCCUGUGAGUGAUUCUGAGGCAUAUAGAAGUUUCGAAGCCAGUGGUAUGGUGACUUUCAAACUUGUCUACUGAGAAAAUAUUUUUACAUGAUUGUGCAUGUAUUAUCUUGUGUGAAACUUUCACAAAAUCAUUCUAAACCUUACCACCUAAAAUAAAGGAUAUUUCCUAAUAUGUUCUAUUCAACUCUAUUUAUAUUUUUGUAAAAUGCUGGUUGUGACUUACCAAACUGAUUCCACAAAUCCCAUGUGUUACCAUCUAUAGUUUGAAAAGUAUUGGUGUAAAACAUAUUAGACCAAGCUUAAGAAAUAUGGCCUCUAAUAAUGUUACUACCUUACAUUUGUGUAACAAAAAUCAUUUUAUGCAUAUUUUUAUUUUCACUACACAAGAGCCAAUAUGUAUAUUAUGACUCCCAAUUUUACAGAAGAGGAAACAGAUGUUACCUGGAAUUAUAAUGCUACUGAACCACAUAUUGGAACUACAUCUUAUUCCAAAGUACACUGAUAUUUCUGUUAUGCAUCUGGUUCAGUAGUUUUGGUACAACUUUUGUCAUAAAUAAGCUUUGUUACUUGUGACGGGUUAUUUCCCUUUUCCACACUUCAGUUGCCCCACUUAUAAAUAGUUUGAGGGUGGACUAGGGUGGAAGAGUGGGGAACUAGGACUGGAUGAGCACAAGAUUGGGAUUGGGCUCGUUUUCUGCCUUAAUCCUGACUGAAAGAAUGCCAUUUUCUUUCAGGACAGACAGACACACACACACUGACACAUAAUUUACUAAUUCCUUAAAUUAUAAAUUUAAUUAUUUCUCUUUUGAUAAUAACAAUAAUAACAAAAAUGAACAGCCAACAUGUAUUGAGCACUCAUUCCAAUUUAGGAAUGGUGCUUAGAGCUUUAGAUACUUGAUUAACCUUAAGAGUUAGAUGCCUUUGAGUUAGAUGCCUUUGUCAUCACCAUUUGCAGAAGUAGAGAUUAAUGCUUAAAGAGUUAACUAGUUGCCCAUGGAUACCCAGCCUGUUUGGCACAGUGGGAGAGCAGUGGGCUUACUUCAGAUUUAACCACCAAGCCACACUCCUGGCAAAGUGGUGAUCUUGGCCACUAUGCCAGAUUGUCUACUUUCAGGAAACACCAUUGAACAUGAGUGACUGCAGUAGAUCUUAUAACAGAGUUUUCCUGGAACCCAAUCAAACUAAAUCAAAAGAGUAACACUUCAUGAAUUGCUGUCUCUUAACUUCUGUAACAAAUUACUGGCAUAGCUGAUAUCAGAUUGAGUUGUUAGCUAAAACUUCCAAGUCCUCCUUCCAUUCUAAAUGUCUCUGUUGUUUGCUAAAGUGAUUAAAAAAAAAAAAAAAAA
ensembl:lncRNA